rnacentral:lncRNA from 12 species
AUGCGUCCCUUUUUGUCUUCCCCUCCACAUGAUCAUAAAAAGUUAAGAAGCACUCGGUGUCCAUGUGAACUCUUCUGUGUUUGCUGCUACAAAAUUAUUUCUAAGGGCACAGCAGCAUCAGUCAUCACUGGUAGCCCCGAGCCAACAGAUUUUUGCCGAGUGCACAUUUCGCUGGCCUGCACUAUCACUGGAAGCAGAGAAGUUGGUGCAAGGCUUAGUACGCACCCUUUCUUCAGAGCCUUCACUGGCAGACAGGAACAUGCAUCAUCCAACCCAGUCUUUCAGGCUCCCAAACCAGUUUGCAUAUUGAGCUUCCCAGAACUAUUUUCAACUACCUGA